ACUUAAAUAAUUUAAAUAAAAUAUUGAUUUGUGGUGUCAAAUAUAUGAUUAAUAUCAUUUUAAGUC
rnacentral:tRNA from 1 species